UCUGGUCAAUAAUGAACAAAACACUGGUUUGUGACAUAGUUGCAUCAUUUGUAAAUGCUUGUGGUUAAUCAGAUUUGUUCCUGCCUUCCUUCCACUUACACCAGGAGAAGAAAAACUUUUAACAAGUUAACAUGUGUAUAAUUUUUCCAAUUUUUGUCCCAUUCAGUUUUGUAAAGGGCUCUAUCAUGUCUUCUGGAACAGCAAA